rnacentral:sRNA from 1 species
AUUAUUUUAUUUUAUACGCGCGAAAAUAAUUGCUGUCCAAUCCGUAUAAUAUUGGGUAUGGUUUAGCUCGGUAUUAAAAUAUUUAUCCAAUAUAAUAUAUAUUUUAUUCCAUCGUAUAUUUAAUUAUAAAAAAUUGGUCCAAUAAUCGCGCGCGCGAUUUGUUAAAAUUUCGGGGAAAAUUGCAUAAUAUUAAUUUACCGAAAUUCCUCGUUUAUCGUACGUUUGGACGAAAAUUUUAAUUUUAUCCAGGAAUAUAUUAUACGGUUUUUCCGUAUAAUUAUUUGCCUAUUUUUAUAUUUUAAUAAAACGGUUUACCGUUAUAGGGUUUAAUAGUUCGUUUGGUAUUAAUCGCACGGGUGGUAAUUCGUAUUUUAAUAUUCCUGGCUUUGGGCUAACCGCGUGGUGCGUAUCCCUUCCCGGGGCAAAUUGCGGGUAAAUUUGCAUUUCCCGUAUUAAUUUAUUCCCGGGUAUAAUUAUUAUAUUUUUCCCCGGUUUGUGCGUAUAAAUAAUCCCCUAUUCCGGAAUUGGGUGGUUAAUAUUUUACGCGCGUUAUAAUCCUGCGGAUGGGUUUUAAUAUCCGUUAUAUUCCACAAAUUAAAACAUAAUUUGUAAUAAUGCGGUUAUUGCGCGCUGGCCUUUUUUUAUUUAUUUUUCCUUUUUUUAAAAAAAACGCACGAAUUUGUCGUUAAUUUUUCUCCCCUAAAUAGGUCCGCACAUUUUUUUUAACAAAUUAAUAUAUAUUUUGCGGAUUUCGCGCGACAUUUGGUCGAAUUGGUAAUUUAUCCAACCCUCCAAUUUUUUUUAAAAACGUUCGCGCAACCGUUAUUUUGGGGUUAUUUUUCCCGCUAUUUGUAUUUUGCGCACGUUAAUUAUAACCUCGUAAUACAAUUAUAUAAAAUAAAUGGAUACCACCUUUGGUUCCAGGGGUUGCGUAAAAUCGGGUAAUAAUUAAUCCCAUACGUGCGGAUCGAUAUAUUUUAAUUAUUGGAUAUCGUUUAUUCCGUUCGUUUCGAUUAUUUUUAUCCAUAUUGGCGUACGCAGCAAUUUCGCGAUAGGUAAUUGUUGCUUUUCGAAUUCGUGCUAAUUUUUAUCGCGCGUUGGUGGUAUAUUAUUUGUUAAUAUUAUUUUUGCAACGGUUCGUUAUUUGGAUAAAAAUUAUAUAAUUUUCGCACGAUAGCGUGCAAUUUAGUUUUUUAAUAUAAAAACGCUAAAUUCGUCCGGUUUUUAAAUUUUUGGUUUUUCCAAUGGGAAAAUAUCCAAUUUAAAUUUCGGGCAAUAAUAUAAACCGAAUUCCAGCGUUUAAACAAUUAAUGGGUUGGAUUUUCGUACGCGCGGUUUAUUUUUUUACGUAACCAAUUUGUAAACGUCGUACAAUUGGUAAUCGUAUUUCUAUUUACUAAUUAAUAUUUAUAAAUUCGUGGAUUUACGUAAUAUAUCCGUGGUAAAUUUAUUUAUAUAGUAAAAACGUUAUAUUUUUGUUAUUUAAAUAUAUUCGGUUUAUUUUUUAUUUAAAUCGUGCGAUUACAAUUUAACGUUUA